AGCUUAUCUUGCGCAGCUUAGGUGGGAGGCUAUGAACCUUUUCUUCUGGGAAGAGGGGAGCCAUCAGUGAGAUACCACUCUUGGUAAGCUAGAACGCUCAGUCUUCACCGUCAUCCGGUAAGACGACAGUUUCAGGCGGGCAGUUUGACUGGGGCAGUCACCCCCCAAAAGGUAAUGGAGGUGUGCAAAGGUUCCCUCAGGCUGGACGGAAAUCAGCCAUAGAGUGUAAAAGCAUAAGGGAGCUUGACUGCGAGACUGACAUGUCAAGCAGAGACGAAAGUCGGCUUUAGUGAUCCGACGGUGCUGUGUGGAAAGGCCGUCGCUCAACGGGUAAAAGUUACUCUAGGGAUAACA
rnacentral:rRNA from 1 species